GUCUCCGGACAUAUCAGCCUGAAGGCGCUAGAUCUUGUCUGCUCUCAGAAGUUAAGCAGGGUCGGGCCUGGUUAGGAUCUUGGAUGGGAGACCACCUGGGAAUCCCGGGUGCUCGAGGCU
ensembl:rRNA 5S_rRNA 5S ribosomal RNA